AUCUAUGGCAAUAUCAGUCUGAAAGUCCCUGAUCUUGUCAGAUCUUAGAUGCCAUCCAGACUUGGGCCUGGUUAGCACUUGUAUGGGAGACCUACUAGGAACCUCAGGUGCUGUAACGG
rnacentral:rRNA from 1 species